GACGAACGCUGGCGGCGUGCUUAACACAUGCAAGUCGAACGAUGAAGCCUAGCUUGCUAGGUGGAUUAGUGGCGAACGGGUGAGUAAUACGUGAGUGACCUACCUUUGACUCUGGGAUAAGCCUGGGAAACUGGGUCUAAUACCGGAUACGACCAAUCUCCGCAUGGGGUGUUGGUGGAAAGCGUUAUGGAGUGGUUUUAGAUGGGCUCACGGCCUAUCAGCUUGUUGGUGAGGUAAUGGCUUACCAAGGCGACGACGGGUAGCCGGCCCGAGAGGGUGACCGGCCACACUGGGACUGAGACACGGCCCAGACUCCUACGGGAGGCAGCAGUGGGGAAUAUUGCACAAUGGGCGCAAGCCUGAUGCAGCGACGCCGCGUGAGGGAUGACGGCCUUCGGGUUGUAAACCUCUGUUAGCAUCGAAGAAGCGAAAG
rnacentral:rRNA from 1 species